rnacentral:tRNA from 1 species
UCCAGUGUAGUAUAGUGGUUUGAGUUUUGGACUACAAUUCUGGAAACCAGGGUUCAAAUCCCUGCUUGGCCA